UCUUAUAUACAUGCCUACAAUGUUAAUGCAUUGGAUCACAUCAAAACUCCAUAGUUAAGCACUCUUGGGAUAGAAUAGUAUUGGGAUGGGUGACCUCCUGGGAAGUCCUAGAGUUUCACAUGCC
rfam:Picea glauca, whole genome shotgun sequence.